rnacentral:rRNA from 1 species
UGGGUACCGCUAUAGAGUUAGCCCGUGCUCGGGGGAUUAGUGGCGAACGGGUGAGUAACACGUGGGCAAUCUGCCCUUCACUCUGGGACAAGCCCUGGAAACGGGGUCUAAUACCGGAUAUGAGCCUGGGAGGCAUCUCCUGGGUUGUAAAGCUCCGGCGGUGAAGGAUGAGCCCGCGGCCUAUCAGCUUGUUGGUGAGGUAAUGGCUCACCAAGGCGACGACGGGUAGCCGGCCUGAGAGGGCGACCGGCCACACUGGGACUGAGACACGGCCCAGACUCCUACGGGAGGCAGCAGUGGGGAAUAUUGCACAAUGGGCGAAAGCCUGAUGCAGCGACGCCGCGUGAGGGAUGACGGCCUUCGGGUUGUAAACCUCUUUCAGCAGGGAAGAAGCGAGAGUGACGGUACCUGCAGAAGAAGCGCCGGCUAACUACGUGCCAGCAGCCGCGGUAAUACGUAGGGCGCAAGCGUUGUCCGGAAUUAUUGGGCGUAAAGAGCUCGUAGGCGGCUUGUCACGUCGAUUGUGAAAGCCCGAGGCUUAACCUCGGGUCUGCAGUCGAUACGGGCUAGCUAGAGUGUGGUAGGGGAGAUCGGAAUUCCUGGUGUAGCGGUGAAAUGCGCAGAUAUCAGGAGGAACACCGGUGGCGAAGGCGGAUCUCUGGGCCAUUACUGACGCUGAGGAGCGAAAGCGUGGGGAGCGAACAGGAUUAGAUACCCUGGUAGUCCACGCCGUAAACGGUGGGUAACUAGGUGUUGGCGACAUUCCACGUCGUCGGUGCCGCAGCUAACGCAUUAAGUUCCCCGCCUGGGGAGUACGGGCCGCAAGGCUAAAACUCAAAGGAAUUGACGGGCGCCCGCACAAGCGCGCGGAGCAUGUGGCUUA